rnacentral:lncRNA from 1 species
AAGACUUUCAGUAGGCCAUGGGAAAUACUGCUCAGCUCCAAAUAAGAAAACUGACAAUUCCUGUUUUCAGAAUAUACAAGUUUAUACUAAAUUGAGCACACUGUGAGCUAGUUCAAAGCUCUCAGUGGUCCUUAAUUUAAGUGAUUAAAAACAUGUGGAGGGAACAAGAAAUAAAAUUCCAGCAGAUAUUUUUAAUUGAAAUCACUCUGUGUAUUUGAAUAAUAAGCAUGCAGCAAAACAUAAUUUGUUUCAGGAUUUAUUUUUUUAACUUCAUGUCAUGCAGAGGUAAUUCAGAGUUGUAGGUUCAUACUUCUUCUGGAGCCUUAAGUAGAUGUUAUUUAUUUAUUUAUUUAUUUAUUUAUUUUAUUUAUUUUGAUAACUAUAACAAGAUUACUGUCCCCAGCUUUGUAAUCACUUCUCUUUCAUUUGUUCCAUCACAACCUCUGGCUAGAGAAUCUUAUGGAUAUAAAGGAUAAGAGAAAGUUUGAGAAAUAUUACAUCAAUGUGGAAUGACAGCAACACCACAAUCAUUCUUUUUCAGCUUUGCUGUUGGCAGGGUCAGGGUCACCCAAGGAUGUUAUGGCAUGGACUUGUAGUGAACCCUUCCUCCAGAGAGACUGUAGUCUACAUAGGAAAGACAAGAUGAAAGAUAGGAAGAGAAAGAAAAGAAAAGUGUCUGGAUCAAGAAAACACUGCUGUUGAGGGUCAGAAGUGUGAAUCUUUUAGGCUUCAACAUCUAGCACUUUAUGCUGUCAGUCAUAUUGCCUUUCUUUCAUAUCCACAAGGAUCAUACUGUCUAACAUAGAAGAGUAGUGACUCAGUGAGCCUGCACUCCUCCACCUGUUUUUGGAUGAAUUCUCCAUAUGAAAAUAAGAUUCUUCUGUCUGGACUUUGUCUCUGAUACUUUUGAUUUACCAAGAGUUAAUUUUUCUCUGUAUCUCUCAAUGUGUUUGAAUCUCUGUUGCCCUGCCUGAUAUGCUGUUACCAAAAUCAGGAUGUAAUUUUCAAGUCAGGUGUACAUUCUUCAGGUAUUUUUCUUUUCUUUUGAGAAAGGAGAAAUGAAACUAUCAGGCCCCUGCAAAGAAACUCUGAGAGCUCGUGGCCUUAGUAAGUGAUGUGUGUGUGUUUAUUUCCUUUUAUCAAAAGAUACUUAAGCAUCACAAGGGCUCAGACAUGAAGAGAAGUAAAGGCUAGAAGCAUAAAUUCAUGUUUACAGGCUUAUGCAAUAUCUUAAGGAGUGCCAUUUGACAGAAUUAUAGAUCCAAAUCAUCUCCUUUACGUCGGAUGUUGCAGAACUGAACUGUGAUAGAUGUAGAAGUUAUUGCCAAAGGGGUUUCAAAAAAUAUGCAAGGGGAACAAUACCAGAUUACCAUAAUGAUGUAUAAACCAGAAGCCUAAGCAAAAUAAAUUCACAUACAGUAUGCA